CGCCUCCUCUUUCUCGGCCAUAGUAUGGAACUGGAGGAGGUUGAUAGCCUUUGUACAAGGAUUCACGCCCUACUAUUGGCGGUGGCGCAGCAGGCUGUAAACCCACUAGGUCACUUCGGCGCUCGCGGUAGGAAUUGGGAUCGGCGUAUCUAUGGUCAUAAGGAUUCAUGACUCUAGGAUUUCGAAAGUGGAAGAAACGGAGUAGUCUAGUUCAGUGGUGGAAUUUGAAACGGAAGAUACCCGACCGGCCGUAGCCUUCAGAAUUUCUUACUAUUCCGGUUCGAAGUAUUCAAG
rnacentral:misc_RNA from 1 species